UCCGCCUGGGUCCGUGGUUGCGUCGCAGGGAGGUCCGCACUGCGGGCAUCCGAGCGGCAAGCCGAUGCCAGUCGCAGGCGAAACGGUCCACGUAACCCUGGAGACAGGGGAUCACGGUGCGGCUUAGAGAUAAGUCCUGCCCCUGCCCUCCCGUCAGAUACGGGAACCAGCAGGGAGAAGGUGGAGUGGCACCAAGCUGCUAAGCCUCUGCAGGCGGUUGUGGGGUCGAAGACCAGGUCGGCCGGGCGGA
rnacentral:ncRNA from 16 species